rnacentral:rRNA from 1 species
GAUGAACGCUGGCGGCGUGCCUAAUACAUGCAAGUCGAGCGAACAGACGAGGAGCUUGCUCCUCUGACGUUAGCGGCGGACGGGUGAGUAACACGUGGAUAACCUACCUAUAAGACUGGGAUAACUUCGGGAAACCGGAGCUAAUACCGGAUAACAUGUUGAACCGCAUGGUUCAACAGUGAAAGACGGUCUUGCUGUCACUUAUAGAUGGAUCCGCGCCGCAUUAGCUAGUUGGUAAGGUAACGGCUUACCAAGGCAACGAUGCGUAGCCGACCUGAGAGGGUGAUCGGCCACACUGGAACUGAGACACGGUCCAGACUCCUACGGGAGGCAGCAGUAGGGAAUCUUCCGCAAUGGGCGAGAGCCUGACGGAGCAACGCCGCGUGAGUGAUGAAGGUCUUCGGAUCGUAAAGCUCUGUUAUUAGGGAAGAACAAAUGUGUAAGUAACUAUGCACGUCUUGACGGUACCUAAUCAGAAAGCCACGGCUAACUACGUG